UACAGAGGGGGCAAGCGUUGUUCGGAAUUACUGGGCGUAAAGGGCGCGUAGGCGGAUCUUUAAGUCAGGGGUGAAAGCCUGAGGCUCAACCUCAGAAUUGCCUUUGAUACUGAAGAUCUUGAGACCGGAAGAGGUUAGUGGAACUGCGAGUGUAGAGGUGAAAUUCGUAGAUAUUCGCAAGAACACCAGUGGCGAAGGCGGCUAACUGGUCCGGUUCUGACGCUGAGGCGCGAAAAGCGUGGGGGAGCAAAACAGG
rnacentral:rRNA from 1 species